GGAGAGGUGCCCGAGAGGCCGAAGGGAACGGUUUGCUAAAUCGUCGUAGGGGUAACUCUACCGAGGGUUCGAAUCCCUCCUUCUCCGCCA
rnacentral:tRNA from 1 species